AAAGCCCUGCGCUGUUCGUGGAUUUUUGGCUCUCUUAAACCCACAUUUUUAAUAAGGGAUGCCGGCUUCCUAAGACGAUUGCAGGCCUCCCGGUCAGGUCUCUGAGCCUGAUUGGACGUUGGAAGCAGUGAAGCUGUGGAGAGGCGACCCACCUGCCGAGUCGUGCAGGUUAUAAUUGAGCCCCACGGCAGGGCGGGGUACU
rnacentral:other from 1 species